rnacentral:tRNA from 1 species
UGGAAUGUAGAUCAGUGGUAAAAUACUUGCCUACCAUGCAUAAGGCCCUGGGUUCAAUCCCCCAGUACUGCAA